rnacentral:misc_RNA from 1 species
AAAGUCGUAACAAGGUAACCGUAGGUGAACCUGCGGUUGGAUCAUUAACAAAUUUAAAGACUAUGGAAUAGACUUUGUCUUUCCGUAGCUCUCAACAUUAUGUGAACUUAUUAUUGAAUCUUGGUAAGUAAAAGGAAACUACUUGUGGUUAUACGAAAAAACUUACCAAAAUUAAACUUUUUAAAAAUAUAAAAUUUUGUCUUGAAUUUAAAUUAUAUUCUAAUUUAAACAACUUUUGACAACGGAUCUCUAGGCUCUC